ensembl:snoRNA SNORD24 Small nucleolar RNA SNORD24
UGCAGAUGAUGUAAUGAAUAUUUGCUAUCUUAGAAAGCAAUGCCGACAACUUUCCACCAAGAUCUCUGAUGCA